AUGUAUAGAUCAACUUAUUCAUAGGAAAAAAAAAAAAAGGCAAGAGUAUCUAGCAGCUUGUAUAUUAAGAGUUAAGAGGAAGGGAGGAGAAAUAAGGAAGUAGUGGUUGAAACAAUCUGCUCUUAAGCAUACAAAAACUGUGAAAGAACUUGAUAACAUUUUAAACAGUAUAUAAACAACACAGAAGAGCAUCAAAGUACACUGCAAAUGUAUAAACUGAUGAUAGACAGAAGUACUGCAGCAGAAAAAAAAUUAGAUGUGCAGAGGAUCCACCCCACUCAGUACUCAGCGUAUACAUUCUCAUUGUCUGGGGGUACAUGUAGUCAUGCAAGAGAGCCCACAGACAUUGGUGGGAACAGAUAAGUGAGUCAAACAAACAUAUCAGCCUGCUAUAUGCCCCACUCACUGUAAGCAAAGAGAAGGUUCAAGACCAGCUGAUGAAACUAAACAAGUACAAGUCUAUGGGGCCCAAUGUCCUGAAGGAAUUUUCUGAUGAAGUUGCCAAGCCUCUCUCCAUCAUAUUUGAAAAGUCCUGGCAGUCAGACAAAGUCCCUGGUGACUGGAAAAAGGGAAACAUCAUUCCCAUUUUUAAAAAGGGUAGAAAGGAGGACCUGGGGAACAACAGACUGGUUAGUCUCACUUCUGUGCUUGGGAAGAUCAUGGAGAAGAUCCUCCUGGAAGCAAUGUCAAUGCACAUGCAAGACAAAGAGAUGAUCUGAGACAGCCAGAAUGGCUUCACCAAGGGCAAAUUGUGCCCAACCAAUCUGGUGGCCUUCUGUGAUGGAGUGACUGCAACACUUGACAUCGGAAGACUGACCAAUGUCAUCUACCUGGACUUCUGCAAGGCCUUUGAUACAGUCCCACAUGACAUCCUUUUCUCCAAAUUGGAGAGAGAUGGAUUUGAUGGGUGGACCAUUCAAUGGAUAAGGAAUUGGCUUGAAGGUCGCACCCAGAGCACACCCAGAGAGUGGUGGUCAAUGGCCCUGUGUCCAAGUGGAGGCUGCUGACAAGUGGUGUUCCUCAGCAGUCUGUCCUGGGACAAGUACAGUUUAAUAUCUUUACCAAUUAUAUAGACAGUAGGAUCAAGUGCACCCUCAGCAAGUUUGCAGAUACCAAGCUGAGGGGUACAGUUGAUACAACAGAAGGAAGUGAUGCCAUCCAAAGGGACAUGGACAAGCUUAAGAUUUGGGCCUAUGUGAACCUCAUGAGGUUCAACAAGUCAAAGUGCAAGGUGCUGCACCUGCGUCAGGGCAAUCCCGGACAUGAGCACAGACUGGGAGAAGAACAUAUUGAGAGCAGCCCUGCAGAGAAGGACUUGGGGGUUCUGGUGGAUGAAAAGCUUGACAGGAUCUGCCAGUGCACACUUGCAGCUCAGAAGGCCAACCGCAUCCUGGGCUGCACUAAAAGGAACGGCCAGCAGAGCGAGGGAGGUGACUGUGCCCCUCUGCUCUCACCUUCUGAGGCCCCACUUGGAAUUCUGCAUCCAGAUCUGGGGCCCCCAGCACAAAACGGAUGUGGGGCUGUUAGAACAGAUCCAGAAGGGGACCACAAAGAUGAUCA